rnacentral:rRNA from 1 species
UACGAAGGGGGCUAGCGUUGCUCGGAAUCACUGGGCGUAAAGGGUGCGUAGGCGGGUCUUUAAGUCAGGGGUGAAAUCCUGGAGCUCAACUCCAGAACUGCCUUUGAUACUGAGGAUCUUGAGUUCGGGAGAGGUGAGUGGAACUCCGAGUGUAGAGGUGAAAUUCGUAGAUAUUCGGAAGAACACCAGUGGCGAAGGCGGCUCACUGGCCCGGUACUGACGCUGAGGUGCGAAAAGCGUGGGGAGCAAACAGGG